UACGCGAAAGGGGAGCAAUCCCUGAGUAGAGUGGCUAACGGGUGAGUAACACGUGGGUGACCUGCCUCAGAGUGGGGGAUAACGUCCCGAAAGGGACGCUAAUAUCGCAUAACAUCCUGCCUUUGGAAAGGCGGAGAUCAAAGCCGGGGAUCGCAAGACCUGGCGCUUGGAGAGGGGCCCGCGUCUGAUUAGCUAGUUGGUAGGGUAAUGGCCUACCAAGGCGACGAUCAGUAUCCGGCCUGAGAGGGCGGACGGACACACUGGGACUGAGACACGGCCCAGACUCCUACGGGAGGCAGCAGUGGGGAAUUGUUCGCAAUGGGCGCAAGCCUGACGACGCAACGCCGCGUGGAGGAUGAAGAUCUUCGGGUCGUAAACUCCUGUCGAGCGGGAAGAACACUUUUCGGGCGAAUAUCCCGAAAGGCUGACGGUACCGCUAAAGGAAGCCCCGGCUAACUUCGUGCCAGCAGCCACGGUAAUACGGGGGGGGCAAGCGUUGUUCGGAAUUACUGGGCGUAAAGGGCUCGUAGGCGGCCAACUAAGUCAGACGUGAAACCCCCAGGCUCAACCUGGGAACUGCGUCUUGAUACUGGAUGGCUUGAAUCCGGGAGAGGGAUGCAGAAUUCAGGUAUAGCCGGUGAAAUGCGUAGAUAUCUUGGAGGAAUACCGUGGCGAANGCGGCAUCCUUGGACCGGCAUUGACCCUGAGGAACGAAA
rnacentral:rRNA from 1 species